GCUGUAGUGCCACCAGGCCUGUGCUCCAGGCAGUGCAGUAAGGGAGCAGGGAGCAGGGGGGGUUGGAUAGAGGGUAGGGGAGUUAAGCGGUGGGGAUG